rnacentral:rRNA from 1 species
GAUGAACGCUGGCGGCGUGCCUAAUACAUGCCAGUCGAGCGAACAGACGAGGAGCUUGCUCCUCUGACGUUAGCGGCGGACGGGUGAGUAACACGUGGAUAACCUACCUAUAAGACUGGGAUAACUUCGGGAAACCGGAGCUAAUACCGGAUAAUAUAUUGAACCGCAUGGUUCAAUAGUGAAAGACGGUUUUGCUGUCACUUAUAGAUGGAUCCGCGCCGCAUUAGCUAGUUGGUAAGGUAACGGCUUACCAAGGCAACGAUGCGUAGCCGACCUGAGAGGGGGAUCGGCCACACUGGAACGGAGACACGGUCCAGACCCCUACGGGAGGCAGCAGUAGGGAAUCUUCCGCAAUGGGCGAAAGCUUGGCGGAGCAACGCCGCGUGAGUGAUGAAGGUCUUCGGAUCGUAAAACUCUGUUAUUAGGGAAGAACAAAUGUGUAAGUAACUAUGCACGUCUUGACGGUACCUAAGCAGAAAGCCACGGCUAACUACGUG